CAACGACUCCGCCUUUACAGUCAAUAUUUCCAAUGUGUUCUACAAGCCAAUAAAAAGAAAGGGGAGACAAAUACAUAAUGAAUGUUCACAUAACAGCCAGGAUGUGUACCAUGGAGAGGUUGUGAGGGAGAGAGAUAGGGAGGGAAGAAAAGAAUAUCUUUUUCGUUGGCAGCCUUGCGCAUCUUGUGGCAAGAAGUGGCGGAGUACAUGGGUGUCCGAGGAUGCUGUACAGUAGUUUGUGAACUAUUUGCUUCUGUUUAAAUUCAUAAACAUUUGACAUAUCAAUGCAUAUAAUGAAAUAAAUACAAAAUAUGAGUAGUAAUUGUGCUUCAAUGAAUUUGUUUUAACAAAUACAUUGUACUUGAACAGUGGAUGCAUGCCUAUGUUAAUCUUGCAAAACAGCAAAGCAUCUAUCACAUAAUACAUCCUACAAUAAAGUAUUGUGUUCUGCAAUGAAGUGUGUUUAAUGUUGUACAUUAAAAAUGGGGUUUCAUUAAAAAAUAAAUUUAUGAUUGAUUUGUAAGAAAGGUAUCCUGAUUCUUUUAAUAAAAUGAUACAGUAACAUUGAUAUAACAUGCUGUGGUAAAUACAGUAAACAUGCCAGGUUUCAGU